rnacentral:rRNA from 1 species
CCCUUAGAUGUUCUGGGCCGCACGCGCGCUACACUGACGGAUUCAACGAGCUUACAACCUUGGCCGAAAGGUCUGGGUAAUCUCCAAAAUCCGUCGUGAUGGGGAUAGAUUAUUGCAAUUAUUAAUCUUCAACGAGGAAUGCCUAGUAAGCGCAAGUCAUCAGCUUGCGUUGAUUACGUCCCUGCCCUUUGUACACACCGCCCGUCGCUCCUACCGAUUGAAUGGUCCGGUGAAGCGUUUGGACUAUGGUUUUCUGAUGGUCCGCCGUUGGAUUACCGUGGGAAGUUCGUUAAACCUUAUCAUUUAGAGGAAGGAGAAGUCGUANCA